rnacentral:rRNA from 1 species
AGCGUUGCUCGGAAUCACUGGGCGUAAAGCGCACGUAGGCGGAUUGCUAAGUCAGGGGUGAAAUCCUGGAGCUCAACUCCAGAACUGCCUUUGAUACUGGUGAUCUUGAGUCCGGGAGAGGUGAGUGGAACUGCGAGUGUAGAGGUGAAAUUCGUAGAUAUUCGCAAGAACACCAGUGGCGAAGGCGGCUCACUGGCCCGGUACUGACGCUGAGGUGCGAAAGCGUGGGGAGCAAACAGG